rnacentral:rRNA from 1 species
CCUACGGGGGACAGCAGUGAGGAAUAUUGGUCAAUGGUCGGGAGACUGAACCAGCCAAGCCGCGUGAGGGAUGAAGGUACAGAGUAUCGUAAACCUCUUUUGUCAGGGAACAAAGGCGGGGACGCGUCCCCGGAUGAGUGUAACUGAAGAAAAAGCAUCGGCUAACUCCGUGCCAGCAGCCGCGGUAAUACGGAGUAUGCGUGCGUUAUCCGGAUGUAUUGGGUUAAAGGGGUGCGCGGGCGGUUUGUAAAGUGAGCGGGAAAAGCCCGGGGCCCAAACCCGGCCCGCCGUUGAAACUGGGAGUCUCGAGUUGGAGAGAAGUAUGCGGAAUGCGCGGUGUAGCGGUGAAAUGCAUAGAUAUCGCGCAGAACUCCGAUUGCGAAGGCAGCAUGCCGGCUCCACACUGACGCUGAGGCACGAAGGCGUGGGUAGCGAAAGGGAUUAGAUACCCCAGUAGUC